rnacentral:lncRNA from 1 species
CUCAGAAGAGAGAGCCAAGGUUUGACCAUGCAUUCCUCUACUGAAGUUUAACCAUACCACAUGGUUAAACUUUUAGGCUAUCGAUACCGACAGAAUAAUAACAAGUCUUUGAUAUUAAUUAAUAGUCUGCAGCUAGAAAUUCGAUAUCAUUGAAUGCGAAGACCGACAAAACAUCCUUUCUAUAACGACAUGAACGAAUGUCGCUUUGAAAGAUCCAUUCUAACCGAGGGAGAGAGAAUGCGGACAAAAACUCUCCAACAGGACAAAAACUCUCCAACAAGGAUCCCGACGACACACUGAGCUCUGCUGUCCCCACAUGUUUCAAGAUUGCCACUAUUGUUCCUGUGCCCAAGAAGGAAAAGGUCCACAGAUGAUGCAAUCGCCAUCACACUGCCCUAUCCCAUCUGGACAAGAGGAAUACCUAUGUAAGAAUGCUGUUCAUUGACUAUAGCGCAGUAUUCAACACCAUAAUACCCUCCAAGCUCAUCAUUAAGCUUGAGGCCCUGGGUCUCAACCCCAC